ensembl:lncRNA
GGGAUCCAUCUUAUUGAUGUUUGUUUUUUGUUGUAAUUGUAUACUCCCACAAGAAAGGAGUGGCAUGGCUCGAUGAACAUUGGUAGAGGAUUAUGAUAAACCCUGCAAAGGACUUUUCCAUCUUUUUCCAUUUCAUCUGUGAUCUCACAGCCAUUUUCAUUGAUCAAGAAGGCUUUGUCCUUGGCACUUGAAGUUUUUUUCUCUCUGUGUAUUUCAAGAGGAGAUAGCUGCCUUUCCUCUAUCCUCUUGGCGACCUGUCUCAAAGGGUGUUUUCCACUUCGCACCAUCCUCUUCAUGGUAUGCAGCUGGUCUUUGUAUGGAAGCCACCAUGAUCUAGUUGUCUAGUUGUCUCUUCUCCCACAAACUCCACUUUCAGGAGCUCCUGCAAGCUGGUGGUCAUAUUGGUGAAUGAGAAUGGAGGAGAUUUGCAGACCCCCAUUGAGAUGUUUCCCUUCCUUCUGAGCUGAUUACAGAUGUUUCACUGCUGUCAUUGGCAUGAUUAUCAUCUGACAAGAAUAUUGUGUAAUUUCUAUGCUUGUGCCAUGAUUGUCCUUUGAACUUGAAUAUUUGUAUUCAUUUGUUCUGGUUUUUGUGUUUUUCACCACUGUCCUUUUUUAAUACAUAUUAAUUGAUAAUGUCCUAUACUGCUGUAGUAUUUACACAUUUUGAGAAUUGCAUAACACAAAUCAGUGACUGUACUUUUUUUGUGUGUGUGUGUGUGGUGUGAAGAACUAAAUGUGUCAUGGUAAAUUAAAUAUGUUAAUAAGAGGGUUUCUGUGUUUCAUGCAACAUUAUUGUAUGAAGUAGCUAAACUUAACUAAGUAAAC